GACGAACGCUGGCGGCGUGCUUAACACAUGCAAGUCGAACGGAAAGGCCCUGCUUUUGUGGGGUGCUCGAGUGGCGAACGGGUGAGUAACACGUGAGUAACCUGCCCUUGACUUUGGGAUAACUUCAGGAAACUGGGGCUAAUACCGGAUAGGAGCUCCUGCUGCAUGGUGGGGGUUGGAAAGUUUCGGCGGUUGGGGAUGGACUCGCGGCUUAUCAGCUGGUUGGUGGGGUAGUGGCUGUCCAAGCGUUUGACGGGUAGGCGGCCUGGGAGGGUGACCGGGCACAUUGGGACUGAGAUACGGCCCAGACUCCUACGGGAGGCAGCAGGGGGGAAUAUUGCACAAUGGGCGGAAGCCUGAUGCAGCAACGCCGCGUGCGGGAUGACGGGUUUCGGGUUGUAAACCGCUUUCGCCUGUGACGAAGCGUGAGUGACGGUAAUGGGUAAAGAAGCACCGGCUAACUACGUG
rnacentral:rRNA from 1 species